UACGUAGGGUGCAAGCGUUAAUCGGAAUUACUGGGCGUAAAGCGUGCGCAGGCGGUUGUGCAAGACCGAUGUGAAAGCCCCGGGCUUAACCUGGGAACUGCGUUUGAAACUGGGGAGCUGGAGUGUAGAAGAGGGGGGUGGAAUUCCAGGUGUAGCAGUGAAAUGCGUAGAUAUCUGGAGGAAUACCGGUGGCGAAGGCGGCAUCCUGGACCGACAUUGACGCUGAGGAGCGAAAGCCAGGGGAGCAAACGGG
rnacentral:rRNA from 1 species